GACGUAGGGAGCGAGCGUUGUCCGGAAUUACUGGGCGUAAAGAGCUCGUAGGCGGGACCGUAAGUCCGAGAGGAAAUCCAUGCAGCUCAACUUUGGGGCUUUCUUGGAUACUGCGGUUCUUGAGGAUGAGAGAGGUAAGCAGAAUUCCCGGUGUAGCGGUGAAUGCGUAGAUAUCGGGAGGAAUACCAGUGGCGAAGGCGGCUUACUGGCUCAUUCCUGACGCUGAGGAGCGAAAGCGUGGGGAGCAAACGGG
rnacentral:rRNA from 1 species